CAAAACGCAGAGGAUUUUUACCAGUUUAAAACCCUGCUUCUCUUUUUACCUCUCCUUUCUGCAUACCCUCUUAGCUAGUCUCUUGCUUCAUUCUCCUGGUGUAUUGGGUGCCGUUUGAAUUGGUUCAAACAACCAGUCAAUAUGCAGAACGAAGAGCGAUAGAAGAUGGAUCUCUACAUCCCCAGAACAUGGUGGUGGGCCUGAGAUGCAUGGUUGAGAUUGUGUUGAAUGGCAGUAAAGCUUAUCUACUGGAUCAUACAGCCAGAAAUGGAUUGGCAAAUAAACACAGCAAUCAGAAAUAUAAUUGUGGUCCUGAAUUGGAUGCUUAUAUCACAGCAGAAGCUGCGCGUGUACUUGGCUUGAUCGGUGAUUUAUAUGUAUUUGGUCUAUAAUCGAAAGCCGAAGUCAGCAAGGCAGCAACUGCACUUUGUACCAUUGUGGUUCGCUUGUGUAAAUUGUUUGGAAGAUCUAAGAUGGGGCUA